AAGUAUCUAAUUUGUAGUUAGGGAGUUUUUAGCGUUACAUCCAACACCCACUCUCGCUAAAAUCCCUAAGUCCCAUUCUGUGACACAAUUUUGAGAACAACCCAUUUGCAAUAUAUGCAUCUGGGAUGAAAAUUAUCAUUGGUGAGCUGAAACCUAGAGAAUCUUCUGGGGUAGAUGGCAUAAGUACCGAGAUCUUAAACUAGUCACAAGUCUUCAAAGAAAGUGUAGUGGCUGUUUAUAGAAAAAGAGACAAAAACAAGAUGACCAACAACUAAUACAACCUACUUUCUGAGAAAAAAUUUGGGUUGACAAAGAAAAAAAAAUCAAUACAUGCUGCUUUACUGCCUGUUGAAUCCAAUUAUGAAGAAUAUAAAAUAUGUUUAA